UUAAGCGACUAAGCGUACACGGUGGAUGCCCUGGCAGUCAGAGGCGAUGAAGGACGUGCUAAUCUGCGAUAAGCGUCGGUAAGGUGAUAUGAACCGUUAUAACCGGCGAUUUCCGAAUGGGGAAACCCAGUGUGUUUCGACACACUAUCAUUAACUGAAUCCAUAGGUUAAUGAGGCGAACCGGGGGAACUGAAACAUCUAAGUACCCCGAGGAAAAGAAAUCAACCGAGAUUCCCCCAGUAGCGGCGAGCGAACGGGGAGCAGCCCAGAGCCUGAAUCAGUGUGUGUGUUAGUGGAAGCGUCUGGAAAGGCGCGCGAUACAGGGUGACAGCCCCGUACACAAAAAUGCACAUGCUGUGAGCUCGAUGAGUAGGGCGGGACACGUGGUAUCCUGUCUGAAUAUGGGGGGACCAUCCUCCAAGGCUAAAUACUCCUGACUGACCGAUAGUGAACCAGUACCGUGAGGGAAAGGCGAAAAGAACCCCGGCGAGGGGAGUGAAAAAGAACCUGAAACCGUGUACGUACAAGCAGUGGGAGCACGCUUAGGCGUGUGACUGCGUACCUUUUGUAUAAUGGGUCAGCGACUUAUAUUCUGUAGCAAGGUUAACCGAAUAGGGGAGCCGAAGGGAAACCGAGUCUUAACUGGGCGUUAAGUUGCAGGGUAUAGACCCGAAACCCGGUGAUCUAGCCAUGGGCAGGUUGAAGGUUGGGUAACACUAACUGGAGGACCGAACCGACUAAUGUUGAAAAAUUAGCGGAUGACUUGUGGCUGGGGGUGAAAGGCCAAUCAAACCGGGAGAUAGCUGGUUCUCCCCGAAAGCUAUUUAGGUAGCGCCUCGUGAAUUCAUCUCCGGGGGUAGAGCACUGUUUCGGCAAGGGGGUCAUCCCGACUUACCAACCCGAUGCAAACUGCGAAUACCGGAGAAUGUUAUCACGGGAGACACACGGCGGGUGCUAACGUCCGUCGUGAAGAGGGAAACAACCCAGACCGCCAGCUAAGGUCCCAAAGUCAUGGUUAAGUGGGAAACGAUGUGGGAAGGCCCAGACAGCCAGGAUGUUGGCUUAGAAGCAGCCAUCAUUUAAAGAAAGCGUAAUAGCUCACUGGUCGAGUCGGCCUGCGCGGAAGAUGUAACGGGGCUAAACCAUGCACCGAAGCUGCGGCAGCGACGCUGAUGCGUUGUUGGGUAGGGGAGCGUUCUGUAAGCCUGCGAAGGUGUGCUGUGAGGCAUGCUGGAGGUAUCAGAAGUGCGAAUGCUGACAUAAGUAACGAUAAAGCGGGUGAAAAGCCCGCUCGCUGGAAGACCAAGGGUUCCUGUCCAACGUUAAUCGGGGCAGGGUGAGUCGACCCCUAAGGCGAGGCCGAAAGGCGUAGUCGAUGGGAAACAGGUUAAUAUUCCUGUACUUGGUGUUACUGCGAAGGGGGGACGGAGAAGGCUAUGUUGGCCGGGCGACGGUUGUCCCGGUUUAAGCGUGUAGGCUGGUUUUCCAGGCAAAUCCGGAAAAUCAAGGCUGAGGCGUGAUGACGAGGCACUACGGUGCUGAAGCAACAAAUGCCCUGCUUCCAGGAAAAGCCUCUAAGCAUCAGGUAACAUCAAAUCGUACCCCAAACCGACACAGGUGGUCAGGUAGAGAAUACCAAGGCGCUUGAGAGAACUCGGGUGAAGGAACUAGGCAAAAUGGUGCCGUAACUUCGGGAGAAGGCACGCUGAUAUGUAGGUGAGGUCCCUCGCGGAUGGAGCUGAAAUCAGUCGAAGAUACCAGCUGGCUGCAACUGUUUAUUAAAAACACAGCACUGUGCAAACACGAAAGUGGACGUAUACGGUGUGACGCCUGCCCGGUGCCGGAAGGUUAAUUGAUGGGGUUAGCGCAAGCGAAGCUCUUGAUCGAAGCCCCGGUAAACGGCGGCCGUAACUAUAACGGUCCUAAGGUAGCGAAAUUCCUUGUCGGGUAAGUUCCGACCUGCACGAAUGGCGUAAUGAUGGCCAGGCUGUCUCCACCCGAGACUCAGUGAAAUUGAACUCGCUGUGAAGAUGCAGUGUACCCGCGGCAAGACGGAAAGACCCCGUGAACCUUUACUAUAGCUUGACACUGAACAUUGAGCCUUGAUGUGUAGGAUAGGUGGGAGGCUUAGAAGUGUGGACGCCAGUCUGCAUGGAGCCGACCUUGAAAUACCACCCUUUAAUGUUUGAUGUUCUAACGUUGACCCGUAAUCCGGGUUGCGGACAGUGUCUGGUGGGUAGUUUGACUGGGGCGGUCUCCUCCUAAAGAGUAACGGAGGAGCACGAAGGUUGGCUAAUCCUGGUCGGACAUCAGGAGGUUAGUGCAAUGGCAUAAGCCAGCUUGACUGCGAGCGUGACGGCGCGAGCAGGUGCGAAAGCAGGUCAUAGUGAUCCGGUGGUUCUGAAUGGAAGGGCCAUCGCUCAACGGAUAAAAGGUACUCCGGGGAUAACAGGCUGAUACCGCCCAAGAGUUCAUAUCGACGGCGGUGUUUGGCACCUCGAUGUCGGCUCAUCACAUCCUGGGGCUGAAGUAGGUCCCAAGGGUAUGGCUGUUCGCCAUUUAAAGUGGUACGCGAGCUGGGUUUAGAACGUCGUGAGACAGUUCGGUCCCUAUCUGCCGUGGGCGCUGGAGAACUGAGGGGGGCUGCUCCUAGUACGAGAGGACCGGAGUGGACGCAUCACUGGUGUUCGGGUUGUCAUGCCAAUGGCACUGCCCGGUAGCUAAAUGCGGAAGAGAUAAGUGCUGAAAGCAUCUAAGCACGAAACUUGCCCCGAGAUGAGUUCUCCCUGACCCUUUAAGGGUCCUGAAGGAACGUUGAAGACGACGACGUUGAUAGGCCGGGUGUGUAAGCGCAGCGAUGCGUUGAGCUAACCGGUACUAAUGAACCGUGAGGCUUAACCUU
rnacentral:rRNA from 1 species